rnacentral:rRNA from 1 species
AACGAACGCUGGCGGCAGGCUUAACACAUGCGAGUCGAGCGAGGCCUUCGGGUCUAGCGGCGGACGGGUGAGUAACGCGUGGGAACGUGCCCUUCUCUACGGAAUAGCCCCGGGAAACUGGGAGUAAUACCGUAUACGCCCUUUGGGGGAAAGAUUUAUCGGAGAAGGAUCGGCCCGCGUUGGAUUAGGUAGUUGGUGAG